GUUUCUGAUGCUGCUACUUUGUUGGUGGUAGUUGAAGACUAAACCCUUGGCUGUCUGAACUCAAAUCUCAUUAACCAGCAUAAAAUACUUGUUUGUUACAUUGUUGUUAUUAGAAAUAAGUUUUCUUAUAUGCGUCCAUUACCAAUUCCGGAGGAUGAAUUCGUUCCUCACGGUAUAAUGGCUCGGGCGCAACAUGCUAUUCUUUUGAUGUGCGGUUAUAUCCUGAUUGGUGGCGUUCUAAUGCCAAUCCGAUCCUGGAAAGGCCACAUAUAUUCAGUCACAUGUUAAAAUUGCUACAUAUUGUUAGUUUUUUUUUGCUCAUUUGUUUCGGGAUCUAAAUGAUGUGUAACUUUGAAAGGGAAAGCGUUCAAUCUUUGUGAUUGUGACGUACCAUGACAAUUCUUUCAUAUUGAAUAGGAAGAUCUGAUAGAUCCUUGAAACUUGUUUUUAUUUCUUUGCUCUGCUCUGUAUAGAGAUGUGGAUGAUGAUAACACAAGUAAAAAACAGUUAUCCCUGUCUGAUUCCUUCAAAAGGGUGCUGAUAGCAUUAUUCUGACACAUUUUUGUAUUUAAAAAUUUAAUAUCUUUUUUCAUCAGAAUUUUUAUUUCCACUAUUGGAGCAAUUUUUUACUGUGGUCGUCGAUCUUGGCCUGUGAUGACAUGAUGGUUUCAGAAAGAGGCAUUUUUUUUGUCUUAUCUGUUGAUAUUUAUCAUGAACUAGGACGGUCUGAGGCCAUUUGAUGAUCAUGAAUCUUUUUGGCAAUUGGUGCCCUGUUUCCUUGAACCAUCAUUCUUGGUUUUUAAUCGAUCAACAAAAGAGUGGCUGUGAAGACUUGGAAAUAUUCAAGCUCAACAGACCGAAUCACAUGUCUAUCUCUAUAGAUGAGAUUGAUCUGUAUGUCGAUUAUCCCGCUGAACCGAGCCAUAUGUUUCUUGUUCGUUUUCUGUUUGAUUGUUCUUGAAUUCUUUUCUGUCUUUUAAUUUACAAUGUGGGGAUGGUGUUAUGAUGAUGUGAAACAAGCUCCCUCUUCUGAACGAAUUGAGGACAGUUGCUGGCAGAAUCGAACCAAUGAACCUUAUUGCCACAACUGAGUAACUAUUUUCCCCUUGAAACUUUUUUUUUUCUGUUGCUUGCAUUUCUGGUCCAUUAACUCCUUAAAUGAAUGGAGAAUUAUAAAUUAUAAAGCACUGUGGAGUGACUCCUUUGAUGAUUAGCUAUACAUCUGGAAUUACCGUCAGAUUUACUUGUGACGACAUUUGUCUGGCUUUCUGAGGAUUUAUCUCAACGGUGUAUAACUUAUCUGUUUUUACCCAGCUUAGGUUGCUUGCUAUGUUUGAUAGGAUAUCCAUAAUUAUUUCAUGUCUCUUUUUACUAUCAGUAAGCAUAUUAAAAUUUGUAACAGUCCCUGUGAAGAUCUCAAGACCUACCGAUAGGAAGUGCCGUUUGACCCUGUAACCAGCAGCUGCAUCUCUCAGCUGCAGGUGUCCAUCCAAUCAUAACCUUUGUGGUUUGGUCUUUGAUGGUGCUCACACCUGCAGUUGUUUGAUUCAUCUGUGGUGUAUGAUUUAAAUCGGGUCUCUGAGGGAUUCUACGUUACUACCCAUGCUACUAAGAUCUUGAUGUGUAUGUUUUUGUUUCUGUAGUUGAGUAUUAGCCUGUGAUGUUUAAAUUUAUUGAUUCUUUGGUUUUGUGGAUCGUUAGUCAGAGCUGUGUUGUUUUCCCAUCUUUUGAUUUUGAUUUCAUCAUUCUUUGGUGUGUUUGGAGGAUGAUGAUCUGGUUUUGUCGCCCCAGUCUUAGGAUCCGGAUUUCUGGACUUGUGCUGAUUGACAUGUUAUCAUAUCUGACUCCAUUGUCUAUUUAUGUUCUGUGUUCUUGAUUACAUGGUGUAGGUGAGUAUUAGUGUUGAUUUGAUUUGGCAGACAUGUUUUUGGUUGCAUUGCAAAUGAUGAUAAAAUUAAGGCUUGUUUCUCUACAUUCGCAGUUGCCGCCUAAGAGCUUUCGCCUUGCCAGGCUUGAGAGCUAGUGCUGCUAAAUCCUUCCUUGGAUGUCUGAUGCAAUGUCAUACAGUUCUUACAUAUUCUUCUGGUUAUAUGUUGUUCUGCAUCAUGUAAUCUUGGUUUUGAUGUUUUCAGGUUGGUUUCCUUGCUUUGGUUAUAGCUUCCUAAGAGGUUUAUGUGUGUAUGAUGAGCUUCCUAUCGUUGGUUUUGACAAAAUCUUUUGCUUUGCAAGAUCAGCUUCUUGUUUGGAUUUCGAAUCUGAAAUCCAGUCCAGACAAUUGGCAAACAUCCUGCCAUCUUGCGAGAUUCAAUCCGAGCCAGCUUAAACUCACCUGGAUCUGAAACCCUGAUUUUCUGGGCCCUUUCGGCUGGCACAUUCCUUCUCUUCUACUCAGACUAUCGAUCGACCUUUGGUUUAGUUUGUGAGAGGGUUGAUUUUGAUGGAUGUAUUGCCCUAUGGUUCAUUUGGUUGUUAGUAUUGUUUUUUAACUAUAUAAACAUACUCAAGAUUAAUUAACAGACAACAACAUAAUGAAGGCAAGGGCGAUGGGCCUUGUUUAGAUGUGAAAAGAUUUUGGAUUUCGCUACUCUUGUUUGUGACAAAUAUUAUUCAAUUAUGGAUUAAUUAGAAUUAAAAGAUUUGUCUCACGAUUUACAGUAAACAAGGCCCCAGUUGUUGGUUCGAGACUUUACGACUUCCGGAUACGACUCUCCAAUGUCUGAUGAGAUGCGCACCUCGUUGUCCUCUGCCACCGCAUGAUCGACCAGGCCUUGUUUAGAUGUGUUUAUUUUAGAUUUUGGUACUGUAGUAUUUUUAUUUGUUUGUGUCAAAUAUUAAUCAAUUAUGGACUAACUCAGGUCAAAAUAUUUGUCUCGUGAUUUACUGUCAAACUGUAUAAUUAGUUUUUUGUUUUUAUUUUGAUGCGAUGGAGAAUCUUUUAGGGGUGAACUAAAUAAGGCCCGUUCACAAGGAUGGUGAUGGCCAUGGUGAAAUCGUCCAGUUCAACUAGAUGAUGCCCCAUUGUCAAAAAAAAAGAAGAUGCCCGGAAGCAGCUUUGGCCAAGUUGAGCGGUAGAGGAUGUGCGGUUGUUGUAAAUAUGAAAAAAAAUAUUAUAUUUGUCAUUAUAUCAAGUUUUAUUAUUUAAUUUAUUUGUCUACGCCAUCUUUCGAACAACGAUGAAAUAUAAGUGUGCAAUGGAGAAUCUCGAACA